rnacentral:rRNA from 1 species
UACGGAGGGUGCAAGCGUUAUCCGGAUUCACUGGGUUUAAAGGGAGCGUAGGCGGGUUUGUAAGUCAGUGGUGAAAGCCCCGGGCUCAACUUGGGAAUUGCCAUUGAUACUGCUAACCUUGAGUAAGGUUGAAGUGGGCGGAAUAUGACAUGUAGCGGUGAAAUGCUUAGAUAUGUCAUAGAACACCGAUUGCGAAGGCAGCUCACUAAGCCUUUACUGACGCUGAGGCUCGAAAGCGUGGGGAUCAAACAGG